GUCAGAAUAAAAUAUGUUUGUGAAAAUGAUAAAAAAAAUUUAUGACUGACAUGCAUUUUCAUAUUACUAGUUGUGCUUAGCCAUUAUUGAUCUAUGUAAACAUAAGGUGUAGAGUCUCAACCAACUUGUUGACAUUUUUGUUUAAAAAUGUGUUUUCCAGCUACCGGAAGAAGCAGGCUCCUGAAACUGCAAUUCAGGGAGGUUAUGUGCAGUCAACCUCGACACCCAGUAAGAGAACAGCAGCUAAAAUGUCGCAUUGAUUAUCUCCAACUGAACCUGUGUCUGAGGGGUUAGUAUCUUUUCUGUAAAACAAAUAUUCACGUUUUUGUGCUAUGAUAUUUCAUACAUUAAAUUACACCUUGCAUAUCCACACUUGGUUCAGAACUAACAUCACACCACCAAACACUUCUGACAUUAUCUUUACAGGGAAGAUUUUCUAAUGGCUGGUGUUGAGGCCUUAGCUGAUGACCAAGAUUUGGAUCCUUUUGAAGAAAGUUUCAAUGGAUCUAGCUACGGAUGCAGUCCGAAUUGAUGAGGACCAAGCAAACAACUUACUCAACAGUGUGCUGGGAUCCUAAAGGGAAUUUCCAUCCUACUUGUGUGGCUGAAGGACAUCAUCAACCAAUUUUGGUACAUUUGCCAGAAAGCACAACAUCGUGAUAUGUUUAAUGACAUGUGGGUGGGUGUGCUUCACCAUGUCACAGGGAAGUAUGAAUGGACCCGUGGCAAAUGUGACUAUGGACCACUUGAUGCAACGACCA